rnacentral:lncRNA from 1 species
GUCUUGCAGGCUGGGGUCCCAGGUGAGAGAUGCCAGCAGGGAGCUCUAGAUGGGGAACUGGGUGAGCCUGGCUCGGUAAGGGCGUGCUCAGAACACCCCAUCCCCGAACACGGUCUUGUGUGAUAAAAUGUCACGCAAGAAGAAUCUGAAACCGCGAGAAGAGGAGGACACGGCCAGACUGCACCGAACCCCGGCACCUCUGUGGGGAAAAGCAGGUCAGGCUGAGCGGGGCCGGCGGGGACACGCGCUCCUGGGCUUCUCCAGAGUCUGCCGGGGCCGGGCCCGGGACCGAGGCUGGGACGCGCUGUGCAGUCCCACCCCUCACACCCCUCGCACGCCUGGAAACACCCUCGGGGUAACACAAGCCGGGGUUGAGUUUCUUGAAGAGAAGCUGGCUGCAUCCUGGAGCCAGGGAAAGAGGAGCACAGGGGCCAAGCGGUCCAGGGCCACGGAGGAGCAGGACCCCUGGGGAAAGGCCCGGGUCUAGGCCGGGGCCAGGGGACCGUGGUGGAGACCUCAAAAAUGGCAGAACACGGAAGCAGGGCGAGAAAAGUAAACGUAGUCCUUGCGGCAGUUUGAAAUACACGCGGGUAAACGCUGGGUGACUCCGCCCGGAUGCAGAGUGGGGGUCUGUGUCUCUCCCCACAGGCUGCAGGGACCGGGCUCUGGGUAACCAGCAGAAGGUAACAGAACGAGGCUGCUUUUCCUCCAGGCUGUUCUGGUGUCCGCGCGUGGCUUGUGCGCUGACUCCUGACUUGGAGCGCCGCGUGGCCAGAGAAAUCUGGGUGCCUCCAGGCCACCAUGGUGAGAGGAGAGGCCACCGCACGAACGGAAGAAGCGAUGGAGACGGUCUUUACGACCUAAGAACAGAAAGAGUUUCUUAUACACAAUCCGAAAAGUAAAAAUUGAUUGAUUGAUUGAUUGAGAUGGAAUCCCACUCUGUCGUCCAGGUUAGAGUGCAAUGGCUUGAUCUCGGCUCAUUGCAACCUCCGCCUCCCGGGUUCAAGCGAUUCUCCUGCCUCAGUCUCCCGAGUAGCUGGGAUUAUAGGCGCCCGCCACCACGACUGGCUAAUUUUUAUAUUUUUAGUAGAGACGCAGUUUCACCGUGUUGACCAGGCUGGUCUUGAACCCCUGACCUCAGGUGAUCCGCCUGCCUCGGUCUCCCAAAGUGCUGGGAUUACAGGCGUGAGCCACCGUGCUGGGCCAAAAAUCAAUUUUAAAACGACCACAUGAAAAAUAAAUCUCCUGUAUCACAGAGCAUGUUCUGAGGAAAAUGAAAGCCACAGAUCCAGAAGAUAUUUGUGACACAUAUGAAAAACAAAAACUCAUAUUCAAAACAUACACAGCAUUGCUAUGAAUCAUUAAGAAAAAUGAUUUCGUCUCCUCUACAGGAGCCUGAGUGAAGGACAAGGACAGAUCAUUAUAAACCAGGGAGCUUGAAGAGCUAGUUAACAAGCACAGAAAAUAUGUUCCCCCACACUGUUAAUCAAGAAAAUUAAAACUGUAAUGAGAUGCCGCAUUGUAUCCAUGGGAUUUCUAAAAGUACAAAGUUCCACAAUACCCGUUGUUGACGGAGCAGGGAAACCGCAGGAGCCUGCAGGAGAUGAGAUUGUAAAUGUGCAAGGACAUUUUGGAGAAGAGUUGACAACAUCUCACUCACGUGUAUCAAGCCAAGUGCCGAAAGAAGAAUUGGUUGUCAUAAAGAAAACAGAAACCCAGAAUGGAUGUAGCUUAUCCCUCCGAUGGAAAGUUACAAAGAAGUUAAAAUGAAUGGGCUGCAUCUCUGUGUAACAAUUUGGAUCAAUAUCAAAGACACAUUUGUUAAAGCAAGGUGUACAAUGAAACCUGCAACAUGAUUUGUCUGUUUAGUAAAACACAGAAAAUCUAACUCCGCCUGGCUUACGAACACACACAUGUGUUAGAAUUUGGGAAAAGGAAAGGGAGGGAGGCCGGCUACACGUGAACUUUUGGAAAAUCUCAGAGGGUCUGGGGCACCAGGUGGAGACCAUGGCAGCCUUCAGGGAUAUGAGGUCAAAUGAGAUGCUGCCUUUCCACCAGAUAAAGAUUUACCUGGUGCCUCUGUUACUGCCCAGCAGCGCCUGAGGACGUGGGGGCUGCUGCCCAACACGGAGGCUGGGCUGGCCUGGUCCGUGGGCUCAGGUUCUCAUCCUCUGCACGUGCAUCUGCCUCCUGUGCGUCUCUGUGCACACGCUUGUAUCUGGAUGCAGAGUCCUGUGCCCAGUGUACAUGCACAGAUGUGCGCAUCUGGGUAGAUGUGCUGGUUCGCUGUGUGAGCAUGCACAGACCCUUGUUCACCGUGUGUGCGCAUCCGUGCAGUGUGGACAUCUGGACAGGACCCCGUGCUCCCUGUCUCUGCCGCUGAGAUGUUUCCUAGCUGUGCACAGAAUUCACUCUCCUACUGGAGGGCUCUGACUGAAAGCUCUGAUGCGGCAGGCCUUCUCUUGACACUUGGUUAAGAAGGAUGUGUUUGCUUCCCCUUCUGCCAUGAUUGGAAGUUUCCUGAGACCCCUCCAGCCAUGCUGAACUGGACACUACACAGGCCCGUGACCAUCACACGCCCAGCCUGGCCCCGUGCUGUGCCUGAGCAGAGGACUGUUGGCAGAUGGUUCACUUCCACCCUCCAUGAUAAAUGCUGAGAAAAGAAAGAUCAAGGGCUUCAGAGCCCACUGGAGGGAAUUCAUACAGCCGGGGGCCCAGGAAGCUGCUAAGGAAACUGCCUGGACGGCAGGGUGGCCGUGACCACGGGGACGGGGAGAAGGACCCAGAGGAGCUGAGGAAUCCUUGCUGUGGAAGGCACCAUAUGAGCUGCGUGAAGUCAGAGUCAAAAGCAAACCCGUCUCUUCUUGACAGUGGGACCCAGGAGGCAGGACAACCUGCCAGAGAGGCUGAAGGAGGUUCCCUCAGGCUGGAUCCUCGACAAGAAAAAGGAAGAGGGUCUGCCUGAUUCCCUCGCCAACAACAGCUGGUCUUCCAGAAGUCAGCAAUCUCUUGUCCCUUGUCUUCAAAAGCCCAUGGAGCUGGAGGCAGGCAGCUGAGGUCAGGAAGAGAAGGUGCGACCCAGUCCAGGAAGGCUGAGUCCUCGUGAACCCUCAGGGCUGGGGUGAGGGGCCAGUGCCCGGCCCAGACACCAGCACAGCCCUGCAGUGGGAGUUGAUCUCAGCAGAUGGACGGGCACCGCCCAGAGGAUGGACUGGUCAGCACCGCCCGGAGGAUGGACCGCUCAGCACCGCAGUGGCCGCUUGGCCUAAUUUGCCACCUGAAGAGCCGCCAGGUCUCCAGUGACUCUAGCACCAUGGACAGGAGAGGAGCAGGGUGACCUGAGGGUACAGAGAAGGUUCUGCUGUAAUCAAGUUCCCCUGCCUGGUCAGAGGGCUCAGAGGUUUGAGAGGGGAGGGAUUUCCUUUUAAAGCUGCAGGAUCCCUGUGGGUCCAGAAAGAAACACAGCCAUGGCGGGCAUCCCAUGGAGGGUAGUGACCAGGAGCAGGACAAAGGUGGAAGGUGGGUGGAGCCCCCACAUGGGCCUCAGGUCACAUUGGACAUUUCCUCAGCAAGUGUCACCUGGGUGGUGACGAAUGGGGGAGGAGAACAGAUGGAAUGCGGAGAGUAGCAGUGUGAAGCUGCACCGCCUGGUCACCACUCGAGAUACACAGGGUUUGCUCUGCCUGAGGAGCACACGCUGGCUGCAGACACGGGGCAACCACGUGAGAAAGGUCAGACCCAGGCCCACUCGCCUUCCAUAUGCAUCUUAGGGACGGGGAUGCCUGCGCCAGCAGCAGCCUUGCUGCCCCUGCGUCCCCCAGUGCACCUGCCAGGGCAAAGCCAACAGGCAGUGCCAAGGACCUGAGGGAGGAGGUGGGCUUGACUUCGAGGCAGGGCACAGACACCAGACCACGUGGAGGAGCAGCUGAAACAGGGCCGGUGGCAGCAGCCGCCUGUGAGACGUGCCAGCCGGUGAGCCUUGUUAGUUUACCAUUGCCACGGCAAGACCCAGAAGUUACUGCCACUUCCCACGGUAAAAUCCCAAUGACCCUGAGGUUUCUGCUCCUUUUCUAGAAAUUUCUGCAUAAACCAACCCCUAAUUAGCAUGUAGUUAAAAGUGGGUGUAAUUAUGAUGCGGAGCUGCCUCUGAGCUGCUCUUCUGUGCACUCUGCUGUCCUGGGGCAGCCCCUCUGCUGCCGCUGCAAUAAAAGCUGCUAACAGCA